AUUUUUACCCCCUUCUACACAAUUAAUUGGAGAGAUUUGAAGAUUAAGAGGAGGAAAAAGAUGGAGCUCAUGGUAGCCAUGGCUUUCUUGAAGACAUUUCAUGGUGAAAAAUUAGAGCUUGUCUCUAAGGCCUUGGGGAGCCCGAGGCGUAGGUUGGGAUUAAUUUUAGUUGGGCAAACUUGGAGCGCGUACGAGGUACAGACGCACAGUUUGGUGAUCUACCCAUUUAGGACACCCUCUUCUGCUGUUUGGAGUGCUUUUCUCAUUUCAGAGCACACAUUUUGGUAUAUAUUCGUUCGCUAUGUAUAUAUGUAUUUGUUUAGGGGCACGGCGAGGCCCUGUCCCGCCAUAUGAUUCGGUUUGUCUGUUUAGAGGUCUGUAGACGUAUUUGUGGGUGUGUGUGCCUACUUCUGUACGGAUGUGUUUGCAUGACUCUAUUCGUUAUGGCAGCCUCGUCGGCGUGCAUUUUGUAUAUGUUGUGGCAGCCUUGUCGGCGUGCAUUUGUAUAUGCGUUUUGGGCCGUUGUGCCAUUUGACAGCCUUGUCGGCUUUUGACAUAUUUGAUAGCCUUGCCGACUUUUUGACAUCUAUACAUAUAUAUCCGCAUACGGUUGCGUUGAGAUGUGUUUGAACAGUUUGAUAUAGUUUGAGACGGCAUAUAGUAAUUAUGGCCGUAUAUGCUAUUUGUGUGUGAUCAAAUAUGGAUAGGUAUGUCAGGGUGCCCAAGUAGGGCGCCAGUCACGGCCUACGGGGUUGGGUCGUGACAGAAGUGGUAUCAGAGCGGUUUGUCCUCGGAAUGUCUA